rnacentral:lncRNA from 1 species
CAAGCGAUUCUCCUGCCUCAGCCUCUGGAGUAGCUGGGACUACAGGCGCCCGCCACCACGCCCGGCUAAUUUUUGUGUUUUUAGUAGAGACAGGGUUUCACCAUGUUGGCCAGGCUGGUCUCAAUCUCUUGAGCUCGUGAUCCACCUGCCUUGGCGUUCCAAAGUGCUGGGAUUACAAGCUUGAGCCACCGCACCUGGCCCACUUUUUUACCUUCUCAAAACCCCAACUCUCCUGUAAUUCCUGAAGCCCAGCCUCAACUGAAUAGCAGAGAGAUUUUGGCUUUCAUUCCAGAAUGAUGUCUCACAGAAAGUCAACUCGUGUUCCAGGGCACGAGUAAAGAUAUCAACCCAUCUAUCUGUAGAAAAUUGCCAGAAACUGUCACAAAAUAAAAAAUGAGAGAAGGCCUGAAUUACGACAGUCCUGGUGGGGUUCUACAAGAAUAACACUUAAAAGCCAUCGAAGCUUCAACGGGACCAGUGUCUCCCCGUUUCGUGGGGUGUAGAGCAAGGUGUGGGAGGAGCGUUUGGCAUGUCAAGUCUCUGCUCUACAGUGGAUCUCCACGUCCCGGCUUCCAGUGGACAGCCCUGUGAGAUGGGGAAAAUUUCCUUCCGCUCAGAUACUGUCAAGGCCAAUGUGCCUUUCAGGAGAUUGUCUGAGAGAUUUCGAACAUUGAAACUGUAAAAAAAAUUGAGCUGGACAGAUCCUUGCCACCACUUUUUCUGCUAAAUAUAGAAAAGUUGUCAUCGGGUUGCACAAGCAAUUUCCAGCUACAGCACCUCAGGAGGGGAGGCGGGCUCCUGUCUCUCAUAGUUAAAGUGCAUAGAGCUGAGCCGACCCUGACUCACGGGUUGUGAGGAACAUGGGAAGGUGGUAGAAGAGUAAUGAGAGAAAGGCGUCCUUGUUUUGGUUAAAUAUAAUGACAUGGGAAGAUGUGCAGUUGAUGAUGGUAUUUGCUUACAAUGUCAUAAAGCAUCAAUAAUUUGCAAGAAAAGGGUAGAAGGAGCCCUACCCCAGGAGUCUGUGCUCAGAGUUUCUCCCCUAUCAUUGCUUUGGAAAACACUGUUGUAUCGUGGAGGGAGACUGUGAGAUAUGGAGCCAAACAGGCAUGGGUUGGCAUCCCAGCUUUAUCACUUACCCUUUGUUUGAUUUGGAGUUAAUUACUUAACUUCUCUGAGCCUGAGAGUCCUCAUAUAGAAGAUGUGGGUAAAAUAAUAUUCCUCUCGCAGCAUCACUAGGAUUCAUGUGAGGAGUAAAGUACAUGGCACUACUAAGUGCUCAGCAUUUGUUGGCGCCCUUCCCCUUCUCCCCUUUUAGGCAAAUCAUUUAAGCCCCCUGGACAUCAGUUGCAUCUCUCUUAGCAAGUCCUAUUGGUUCUACCUCCGGAAUAUAUUUAGAAUUUAUCCACUUCUCUCUAUUGUCAUUGCUGCCAUGUCAGUCCAACGUGUAGGCCGUUGCGAUGCCUUCCUAACUGGUUUUCCUCCUUCUGUUUUUAAACCCAGUGCAAUCCAUCUCCACAUAGCAGGCAGAGAGGGCAUUUUAAAAAUGUAAAUCACAUCAUGCCCCUACCCUGCCUAAAACCCUCCCGUGGCUGAACUUAGAGUAAAAUCCAAGCUCCUCACCACAGCCUUCAAAGGCCCAUGUGAUCAAGCCCCUGCCUACCGCUUUCCUUUUAGACUCCACUUGCUACUGCUUUUUUCUUCUAUAAAAUUUUUUUUUUCCGGUUGUACUGGCCCUUUUCAGUUUCCAGAACACUCCAAGUUUAUUUCUACCGCAGGGCCUUUUAAUUUGCUGUUUCCAUGGCUUGGAAGAUGCUUCUUCUAGAUUCUCCUGUGCUUGAAACCUUCUCCUAGGUCAAAUGUUCCCUCCUAAAAUUUGUCAUCCUUGACCUAGUCACUCUCUAUCACAGCCCUAAUUUAUUUUCUUCAUAGCACUUGUCACUAUGUGAAAGUAUCUUAAAUACUGUUUAUCUGUUUAUUUUCUGUUUUCCCCCAUGAGA